UAGUCCACGCCGUAAACGAUGCGCACUAGGUAUCAGCGCCUCUGACGGGGUUGGUGCCGAAACAAAAGCGAUAAGUGCGCCGCCUGGGGAGUACGGCCGCAAGGCUAAAACUCAAAGGAAUUGACGGGGGCUCACACAAGCGGUGGAGCAUGUGGAUUAAUUCGAAGCAACGCGUAGAACCCUACCUGGGUUUGACAUGCUAGGAUGCAGCCGUGAAAGCGGUCUAUGCUGCCUCUGGUGAAACUAGCACAGGUGCUGCAUGGCUGUCGUCAGCUCGUGCUGUGAAGUGUCGGGUUAAGUCCCUUAACGAGCGAAACCCCUAUCGUUAGUUGCCAGCGCGUCAUGGCGGGGACUCUAACGAGACUGCCGGCGUUAAGCCGGAGGAAGGUGGGGAUGACGUCAAGUCAUCAUGGCCUUUAUGCCCAGGGUGUCACACGUGCUACAAUGGUACGGACAGAGCGACGCGAGACCGCGAGGUGGAGCAAAUCGCACAAACCG
rnacentral:rRNA from 1 species